AUUGGACGCUGGCGGCAGGCUUAACACAUGCAAGUCGAGCGGAGAUGAGGUGCUUGCACCUUAUCUUAGCGGCGGACGGGUGAGUAAUGCUUAGGAAUCUGCCUAUUAGUGGGGGACAACAUUCCGAAAGGAAUGCUAAUACCGCAUACGUCCUACGAGAGAAAGCAGGGGAUCUUCGGACCUUGCGCUAAUAGAUGAGCCUAAGUCGGAUUAGCUAGUUGGUGGGGUAAAGGCCUACCAAGGCGACGAUCUGUAGCGGGUCUGAGAGGAUGAUCCGCCACACUGGGACUGAGACACGGCCCAGACUCCUACGGGAGGCAGCAGUGGGGAAUAUUGGACAAUGGGGGGAACCCUGAUCCAGCCAUGCCGCGUGUGUGAAGAAGGCCUUAUGGUUGUAAGGCACUUUAAGCGAGGAGGAGGCUACUGAGACUAAUACUCUUGGAUAGUGGACGUUACUCGCAGAAUAAGCACCGGCUAACUCUGUGCCAGCCGCCGCGGUAACAC
rnacentral:rRNA from 1 species